rnacentral:snRNA from 1 species
UUGUGUUACAGCUUUUUUAUAAUUUAUCUAGCAGUUGUCUUGGUUUUCACUGGAACCCU